GAGAUAUUGCACUGGCAUAAAGGUCCAGUUGGGGACGCUGCUCCAAACCAACCUGUCUGCUGAACACUCUGAAAGGACGAUCAGACUUCUUGAGACCUCUAGGAUGGAGAAGCCUGUGCUGGUCUUGCUGUGUCUUGCAGGGUUCUUUGUACCUUUUUCAAACCAGAUCAGAAGAUACGGCUAUGAUAAUGCUGAGAUGAGCUGGUCUGAAGCUCAGAGCUACUGUAGAGAGAAGCACACAGACCUGGCCACUGUGGGCAGCCAGGAAGAAGCAGAGCAGCUCUUAAAUAUUACAGGAGAUUCUCUCAAUGAUACUGCCUGGAUCGGGCUGUAUUGUGAUGACACACAGAAUUGGCAGUGGUCUAACAGCGAUGAUGUCAUCUACUCCAACUGGAGGGCAGACCUCUUCUGUGCUUCAGUCAGUUCACAGGGAGAGUGGGAGGAUCGAGUCUGCAAUGAGAAGAAUCCUUUCAUGUGCUACACAGAGACCAGCAAUAUCACUGAGAGAUACACCCUGAUUGAAGAACAGAAAACCUGGACUGAAGCUCAACAGUACUGUAGAGAACACCACACCGACCUCGUCAGUAUAAAGAACGCCAGUGAAAAUGAAGACCUAGUGAAGAAAGCGCAGGGCAAGCCCUUCUGGAUAGGCCUGUUCAAUAACCCGUGGAAGUGGUCACGCCAGGGGGAUAACUACACAUUUCAAAACUGGAACGGAGGGGAACCAAACAAUGCGGGAGGCAAUGAGAACUGUGUGGUGAUGAAUGAGAUAGGUGACUGGUAUGACAGUUCCUGUAGCGAGAAGUUUCUCUUCGUCUGCUGUUCAGGAGGUUCCUCUGGUAAUUGCAGCUUUGAAGGAACUGAGAUGACAUGGCAUGAAGCUCAGAGCUACUGCAGAAACCACAACAAAGACCUGGUCACCAUUCAAGACCAGGACAGGAUGAAGAAUAUUUUAGACAUCAUGCCUAAAAGUAAAUCCACCUGGAUCGGUCUGCAUCGUGACAAAGAGAACUGGCAGUGGUCCAAUGGAGGUGAUGUCAUCUACUCCAACUGGACAUCACAACUCUUCUGUGCUUCAGUCAAUUCAAGUGGAGUGUGGAACGAAUCACUCUGCAAGGAGAAGAAACCUUUCAUGUGCUACAACGAGACCAGCAACAUCACUGCGAGAUACACCCUGAUUGAAGAACUGAAAACCUGGACUGAAGCUCAGCAGUACUGUAGAGAACACCACACCGACCUCGUCAGUAUAAAUAGUGACAGUGAAAAUGAAGACCUAGUGAAGAAAGCGCAGGGCAAGCCCUUCUGGAUAGGCCUGUUCAAUAACCCGUGGAAGUGGUCACACCAGGGGGAUAACUACACAUUUCACAACUGGAACACAGGGGAACCAAACAAUGUGGGAGGCAAUGAGAAAUGUGUGAUUAUAGGUGUAAGGUAUAAUCAGAAUCAAUCCAGAGGGGAAUGGCGUGAUAAGGAUUGCAGCUUGAAGCUCCCCUUCUUCUGCUUUGAUGAUGUCCGGGAUCUGGUCCUAGAGAAGGAGAAUAAAACCUGGGAGGAAGCCGUUGUCCACUGCAGAGCUCAGCACAGAGAGCUGGCCAGCAUCGUCUCGGAGAAGGAGCAACGCUACGCCACCUACCUGUCUGAGCAUGCCAACUCCCCUCUGGUGUGGAUCGGGCUGAGGCAGAGCCGGCUGUUUGGCUUCUAUUUCUGGAUGAACAGUGAGCCCCUGGACUACACCAAGUGGAAAGGGGGGGGUCCAGCCCCCUGGGUACCCCGACUCCAGCCCCUGCGUAGCCAUGACUACAGGGUCUGACCCCCACUGGACUGAGAAACCCUGCACGGAGAAGCUCAACUUCUUCUGCUUCUAAGGGUGGCACCCAGAGGUCAGCUAUCCACAAGAGGCUUCCUGGAUAUCCCUUUCCAGAUGAAGACAGGCUUAAAGAUUAUUAUGAAAGGAAGUUCAUUAUAAUACAAUAUUAAUUACACAUUUCUCAUUUAUACUAACAGCAAUCAUUUCACUAUUCUACAAUGCAUACUAUUUGAUUGAGCUCUAGAUUAGAUUGUACUGUAUUAACUUUUUCUAUAAAGUUGUGAUGAAAUCAUUGCAUUUCCAUUUUAUGAAUUAACUGAAAAGUAAUGUUAUGUUCUAAAUAUAAAUCCUUUAAUAGAAAGAAGUUGUUUGUUACACUUGCAAUGGAGUUUAAAUACAACAUGACUUACAACAUUCAUCACUAAGCUGAUCAAAAAUAGCUGGGGGUUUUGAAUGACUAUAAAAUCUUUUAUCCGUUUGUAAAGGAAAUCCAAGCCAGCUAUAGUCCAGCUACAGGCAGGUCCACCUGAUUCUAUGUGCAGUCAUCUGCAUGCAAUGCAACAUGGGGUGAAAUUAAUAGGCUAUGGUUUAGGGUUUCUCUGCUUUGUAUGAAUAUAAAUAGAUAAUGAGCUGUAUUUCUCUGUAUUUCUGGAUGUAUUUUUGCUGAAUUA